UUUCCGUAGGUGAACCUGCGGAAGGAUCAUUAAUGUGUUUGGGCCUCACGGCUCUUCAUUCCGACGCUGUGCGCCUUCGGGCUGCACGCUGAGGGAGCAUAUAUCCACCCCUGUGCACACACACGGUGGCGAGCUGGGUAACGGCUCGCCGCUGAUCUUUACACACGUCUAAAAGUCAUUGUAUGUUUAUUUGAGAUAAAAACACAACUUUCAGCAACGGAUCUCUUGGCUCUCGCAUCGAUGAAGAAUGCAGC
rnacentral:misc_RNA from 1 species